UCCGUGCCAGCAGCCGCGGUAAUACGGAGGGUGCGAGCGUUAAUCGGAAUUACUGGGCGUAAAGCGCAUGCUAGGUGGUUUGUUAAGUCAGAUGUGAAAGCCCGGGGCUCAACCUCGGAAUUGCAUUUGAAACUGGCAAACUAGAGUACUGUAGAGGGGGUAGAAUUUCAGGUGUAGCGGUGAAAUGCGUAGAGAUCUGAAGGAAUACCGGUGGCGAAGGCGGCCCCCUGGACAGAUACUGACACUCAGAUGCGAAAGCGUGGGGAGCAAACAGGAUUAGAUACCCCUGGUAG
rnacentral:rRNA from 1 species